AAUGAACGCUGGCGGCAUGCCUAACACAUGCAAGUCGAACGAGACCUUCGGGUCUAGUGGCGCACGGGUGCGUAACGCGUGGGAAUCUGCCCUUGGGUUCGGAAUAACUCGCCGAAAGGCGUGCUAAUACCGGAUGAUGACGUAAGUCCAAAGAUUUAUCGCCCAAGGAUGAGCCCGCGUAGGAUUAGCUAGUUGGUGGGGUAAAGGCCCACCAAGGCGACGAUCCUUAGCUGGUCUGAGAGGAUGAUCAGCCACACUGGGACUGAGACACGGCCCAGACUCCUACGGGAGGCAGCAGUGGGGAAUAUUGGACAAUGGGCGAAAGCCUGAUCCAGCAAUGCCGCGUGAGUGAUGAAGGCCUUAGGGUUGUAAAGCUCUUUUACCCGGGAUGAUAAUGACAGUACCGGGAGAAUAAGCCCCGGCUAACUCCGUGCCAGCCGCCGCCGUAA
rnacentral:rRNA from 1 species